AUUGAUAUUUUCCCCCUUUCUCAGUUUUUCGCUCCUAAUUCAUACUUGCACUUCCCUCUGCAACAACUAGCUACCACUCGCACAAAUCCUAAAACUCUCUAGCUCCUUACAAUGACUCUCUCCCUCUGCUGCGCCAAAUCCCUUAUCUUUCUCUUCAUCCUCUCAGCCAUCCCCGUCGCCUUUAUCAUCUCUCUUGAGCUGGCCAAGCCCAACACCCAUGUCUUCUACUAUCACAGUUCCGGCUUCUUCCGCGAGUGCGCCAAGUGGGACGAUCUUAACCGUCGAUUUAUCGUCUCCUU
rnacentral:misc_RNA from 1 species